GAAUUCCGCCACGGCCUACCUCCUCCCAGGCUAAGGCGGAUACGGUCAGCCUUCUCCUCCUCCCGAACGCUGGCCGACCUAUACGACACCCGCCGCACCUCCUCCCGCGGCGGGUGUUGUUU
rnacentral:sRNA from 1 species